rnacentral:rRNA from 1 species
UUGGGGAGCAUUGUAUACGGGACGAAGCGGUACCGAUAAGGAGCUGUGGGCUGUAUAGAAGAGAGAAUGCCGGAAUGAGUAGCGAGAGGAAGGUGAGAAUCCUUCCGGCCGAAUAUCUAAGGUUUCCAGAGUAAAGCUGAUCUGCUCUGGGUAAGUCGGGGCCUAAGGCCAGGUCGAAAGACGUAACCGAUGGACAACAGGUUGAAAUUCCUGUACCUUAAGUAAACAGAACUGUGGGGACACGUGUGGAGAGCACAAGCCGGAAAUGGAAAAGCCGGUGCAAGCGAGGUAGGAGUACAGUAGGCAAAUCCGCUGUACAAUCCGAAGACGUGAUGCGGACCGAAUUAAGAGUAGGGAAGUGUGUGAGCCAUGCGUCAAGAAAAGCCGCUAUUGUUUUACUUAAGCCCGUACCGUAAACCGACACAGGUGGAUGAGGAGAGAAUCCUAAGGCCGACGGGAGAAGCAUUGUUAAGGAACUCGGCAAAAUGACUCCGUAACUUCGGGAGAAGGAGUGCCAGCGAGAGCUGGCCGCAGAGAAUUGGCCCAAGCAACUGUUUAGCAAAAACACAGGUCUAUGCAAAACCGUAAGGUGAAGUAUAUGGGCUGACGCCUGCCCGGUGCUGGAAGGUUAAGAGGAGAGGUUAGCGGUAACGCGAAGCUUUGAAUUUAAGCCCCAGUAAACGGCGGCCGUAACAAUAACGGUCCUAAGGUAGCGAAAUUCCUUGUCGGGUAAGUUCCGACCCGCACGAAAGGCGUAAUGAUUUGGGCACUGUCUCAACAAUGCACCCGGUGAAAUUGAAAUACCAGUGAAGAUGCUGGUUACCUGCGCCAGGACGGAAAGACCCCAUGGAGCUUUACUCCAGCUUGAUACUGGGAUUCGGUAUUGCAUGUACAGGAUAGGUGGGAGGCUAGGAAGUGAUAACGCCAGUUGUCACGGAGCCGCUGUUGGGAUACCACCCUUGCAGUAUUGGAUUUCUAACCAGCGACCAUAAACUGGUCGGGGGACAAUGUCAGGUGGGGAGUUUGACUGGGGCGGUCGCCUCCGAAAGGGUAUCGGAGGCGCUCAAAGGUUCCCUCAGAAUGGACGGAAACCAUUCGAAGAGUGCAAAGGCAGAAGGGAGCUUGACUGCGACACCGACGGGUGGAGCAGGUACGAAAGUAGGACUUAGUGAUCCGGUGGUAUAAAGUGGGAUUGCCAUCGCUCAACGGAUAAAAGCUACCCUGGGAUAACAGGCUUAUCACUCCCAAGAGUUCACAUCGACGGAGUGGUUUGGCACCUCGAUGUCGGCUCAUCGCAUCCUGGGGCUGAAGUAGGUCCCAAGGGUUGGGCUGUUCGCCCAUUAAAGCGGUACGCGAGCUGGGUUCAGAACGUCGUGAGACAGUUCGGUCCCUAUCCGGCGUGGGCGUAGGAUAUUUGAGAGGAGCUGUCCUUAGUACGAGAGGACCGGGAUGGACUGGCCGCUGGUGUAUCUGUUGCAUACCAAAUGCAUGGCAGAGUAGCCAAGCCGGGACGGGAUAAACGCUGAAGGCAUCUAAGCGUGAAGCCCCCCUCAAGAUGAGAUAUCCCUACGUAAGUAGUAAGACCCCUUGAAGACGACGAGGUAGAUAGGUCAGAGGUGGAAGUACAGUAAUGUAUGGAGCUGACUGAUACUAAUCGGUCGAGGGCAUGACCU